rnacentral:rRNA from 1 species
GACGAACGCUGGCGGCGUGCUUAACACAUGCAAGUCGAACGGAAAGGCCCUGCUUUUGUGGGGUGCUCGAGUGGCGAACGGGUGAGUAACACGUGAGUAACCUGCCCUUGACUUUGGGAUAACUUCAGGAAACUGGGGCUAAUACCGGAUAGGAGCUCCUGCUGCAUGGUGGGGGUUGGAAAGUUUCGGCGGUUGGGGAUGCACUCGCGGCUUAUCAGCUUGUUGGUGGGGUAGUGGCUUACCAAGGCUUUGACGGGUAGCCGGCCUGAGAGGGUGACCGGCCACAUUGGGACUGAGAUACGGCCCAGACUCCUACGGGAGGCAGCAGUGGGGAAUAUUGCACAAUGGGCGGAAGCCUGAUGCAGCAACGCCGCGUGCGGGAUGACGGCCGUCGGGUUGUAAACCGCUUUCGCCUGUGACGAAGCGUGAGUGACGGUAAUGGGUAAAGAAGCACCGGCUAACUACGUG